rnacentral:rRNA from 1 species
GACGAACGCUGGCGGCGUGCCUAAUACAUGCAAGUAGAACGCUGAAGGAGGAGCUUGCUCUUCUGGAUGAGUUGCGAACGGGUGAGUAACGCGUAGGUAACCUGCCUGGUAGCGGGGGAUAACUAUUGGAAACGAUAGCUAAUACCGCAUAAGAGUAGCUGUUGCAUGACAUUUACUUAAAAGGUGCAAUUGCAUCACUACCAGAUGGACCUGCGUUGUAUUAGCUAGUUGGUGGGGUAACGGCUUACCAAGGCGACGAUACAUAGCCGACCUGAGAGGGUGAUCGGCCACACUGGGACUGAGACACGGCCCAGACUCCUACGGGAGGCAGCAGUAGGGAAUCUUCGGCAAUGGACGGAAGUCUGACCGAGCAACGCCGCGUGAGUGAAGAAGGUUUUCGGAUCGUAAAGCUCUGUUGUAAGAGAAGAACGAGUGUGAGAGUGGAAAGUUCACACUGUGACGGUAUCUUACCAGAAAGGGACGGCUAACUACGUG